rnacentral:rRNA from 1 species
GAUGAACGCUGGCGGCGUGCCUAAUACAUGCAAGUCGAGCGGACAGACGAGGAGCUUGCUCCUCUGACGUUAGCGGCGGACGGGUGAGUAACACGUGGAUAACCUACCUAUAAGACUGGGAUAACUUCGGGAAACCGGAGCUAAUACCGGAUAAUAUAUUGAACCGCAUGGUUCAAUAGUGAAAGACGGUUUUGCUGUCACUUAUAGAUGGAUCCGCGCCGCAUUAGCUAGUUGGUAAGGUAACGGCUUACCAAGGCAACGAUGCGUAGCCGACCUGAGAGGGUGAUCGGCCACACUGGAACUGAGACACGGUCCAGACUCCUACGGGAGGCAGCAGUAGGGAAUCUUCCGCAAUGGGCGAAAGCCUGACGGAGCAACGCCGCGUGAGUGAUGAAGGUCUUCGGAUCGUAAAACUCUGUUAUUAGGGAAGAACAAAUGUGUAAGUAACUAUGCACGUCUUGACGGUACCUAAUCAGAAAGCCACGGCCAACUACGUG